rnacentral:rRNA from 1 species
AAGAGUACGUGAAACCGUUCAGGGGUAAACCUGUGAAACCCAAAAGAUCGAAUGAGGAGAUUCAUCGUCAGCGUAUUCAGUAUUAAUGCAGGCUAUGAUGUGAUAAUAGAAUCCUUGUGGUCACUAGAUUAUACUUGCUUGUAUUAUUUUUGCUGGGUAUGUCGGCGUGCACUUCUCCUCUAGUAGAACGUCGCAACCCGUUGGAUGUUUAUCUAUGGCCUGAUUGGUAGCCUUUGAUAUUUUGUGUAUCGAAGACCUUUUGGUGUCCUGAUAAACUGUCUGACGGUAUACAUAUAGUAUUGAGCCGCAAUUAUUUGCGUUAGACUUAUCGCAAGUAAGGCUUUAUUCUGGUAGUGCGGAUCUGAUGCCGUCGCUGGACAAAGUCUGCUGUUAGCUGUGUAAUGUCUUUAACUGGCUUAUUUACUGGUUAGCGAUGCUACUGCUUUGGGUAC